GGCCGGAUGCGGUUUCUAGUAUAGAGCUCCCAAAAUGCAGGUUGACUCGGCGGUCGCACUGUUCAUUUUUCUGUAUGAAUAGAAUUAAUAGUGGUGUGAUGUUGAGGAAGUGGUUACGAUGGCAUCGAUCCCGCCAUGUGCUAGUGGGAGAUGUUGGCAUUCGGUUAACUCGAAUCGGGUACGCUCAUAAGCGAGUUCGAUCCGACGGAUAUUAUGUUAUCUAAUUGGAUUGGAAUUAAUCUCGCUUUCAAAUUGGAAAGCUAGUUAGAGAUAAAUCCUAGUCAUAUGAGGAUAACAAUUAAUAACCGAUUUGGCCUUAUCUCUAACGCUAUUAGGAUUUUGGAAUCCCUUAUAAAUAUGCGGGCGAUCCCACAUAACAAAAAGACACAAGAACGUAAGAAAGAAAAGAGAAUAAGAAAACGAAAGACAGAAACCACAUCCUCCAUCAACCUAUUAUUCGAAGAGGGACUUGAAAGGUGGAUUUGUGAUCGUGCUCGUUUGUAGUUCGAUCCAUCGCGAGUUUGGAACGUGAGAAGAUUUAAUCAAGGACGAUCAAAGGACACGUGAAUCAACCUCGACGAUCCGGACUCAUCGAGUUGUAACGCGA
rnacentral:lncRNA from 1 species